CAGUAGCCGCGGUAAUAUGUAGGGUGCGAGCGUUAAUCGGAAUUACUGGGCGUAAAGCGUGCGCAGGCGGUUGUGUAAGACAGGUGUGAAAUCCCCGGGCUUAACCUGGGAACUGCGCUUGUGACUGCACAGCUAGAGUAUGGCAGAGGGGGGUGGAAUUCCACGUGUAGCAGUGAAAUGCGUAGAGAUGUGGAGGAACACCGAUGGCGAAGGCAGCCCCCUGGGCCAAUACUGACGCUCAUGCACGAAAGCGUGGGGAGCAAACAGGAUUAGAUACCCGUGUAGUCCCUGUCUCUUAUAC
rnacentral:rRNA from 1 species